GGAACUUAUCCUCGUGUUGUUGUGCGGCUUGGAAAAUGUUGACUUGGAGUCGGUUCUCUCACUUUCUCGCCCUCGUCUUUUCCCGCUGUUACUGCAGCUACUGCUCUCAAUAGCGAGAGAGAGAGAGAGAGAGGUUUAAAACAUGGGUCGGUCGUCGACCCGGCACGGUUCAGCAGCGGUCUUCGGCGGACCGGUGAGGCGGUGGAAAAAGAAGUGGGUCCCGCUCUCCACUGCCGACGACCACGGCGACGCCGUCAAUCGUCAUCCCGAGGAGCCGCCCUGUAGGAAUUUUCGAUACGUUCUGGAUCAGUUGAGGUAUCAGCUUUUGGGUUUUCUUUGGAAGAGGCAAGAAGACGGUGGUAUUGUGUUUUUCCUGUAGCGUACGGCAAGUAAAGUUUCAAGGAAGACGGCCAGUGGAAAUUGGUAGAUGAUCUAAAUUAGGUAAUUAUGGAGGCCAUGAUGACUGGUGUGAUAUAUGCAACUCUCAGGGUCAGAUGGAAGAUCAAAUGGAAUCACUUUGCCCACAUUUAGCUGCUAAAUUUAUUUAUUUAUUUAUUGGUGAAUUCAAGGACUUGCAAAUGCUGGAAAAACCUGGUUUGUGCAAUAGAUCAGUCAUGCAAAUUGCUUUUCCUUCGCUGGGAAAUCUUGUAGAAGUGACUUUUUAAGUUUCUUGAGAUAUAUGGUUAUGGGCUUACAGAAAUCUUGCUUAGUCUA